rnacentral:rRNA from 1 species
GAUGAACGCUGGCGGCGUGCCUAAUACAUGCAAGUCGAGCGAACAGAUGAGGAGCUUGCUCCUCUGACGUUAGCGGCGGACGGGUGAGUAACACGUGGAUAACCUACCUAUAAGACUGGGAUAACUUCGGGAAACCGGAGCUAAUACCGGAUAAUAUAUUGAACCGCAUGGUUCAAUAGUGAAAGACGGUUUUGCUGUCACUUAUAGAUGGAUCCGCGCCGCAUUAGCUAGUUGGUAAGGUAACGGCUUACCAAGGCAACGAUGCGUAGCCGACCUGAGAGGGUGAUCGGCCACACUGGAACUGAGACACGGUCCAGACUCCUACGGGAGGCAGCAGUAGGGAAUCUUCCGCAAUGGGCGAAAGCCUGACGGAGCAACGCCGCGUGAGUGAUGAAGGUCUUCGGAUCGUAAAACUCUGUUAUUAGGGAAGAACAAAUGUGUAAGUAACUAUGCACGUCUUGACGGUACCUAAUCAGAAAGCCACGGCUAACUACGAG